GAUGAACGCUGGCGGCGUGCCUAAUACAUGCAAGUCGAGCGAAUGGAUUAAGAGCUUGCUCUUAUGAAGUUAGCGGCGGACGGGUGAGUAACACGUGGGUAACCUGCCCAUAAGACUGGGAUAACUCCGGGAAACCGGGGCUAAUACCGGAUCACAUUUUGAACCGCAUGGUUCGAAAUUGAAAGGCGGCUUCGGCUGUCACUUAUGGAUGGACCCGCGUCGCAUUAGCUAGUUGGUGAGGUAACGGCUCACCAAGGCAACGAUGCGUAGCCGACCUGGGAGGGUGAUCGGCCACACGGGGACUGAGACACGGCCCAGACUCCUACGGGAGGCAGCAGUAGGGAAUCUUCCGCAAUGGACGAAAGUCUGACGGAGCAACGCCGCGUGAGUGAUGAAGGCUUUCGGGUCGUAAAACUCUGUUGUUAGGGAAGAACAAGUGCUAGUUGAAUAAGCUGGCACCUUGACGGUACCUAACCAGAAAGCCACGGCUAACUACGUGCCAGCCGCCGCAGUAA
rnacentral:rRNA from 1 species